rnacentral:lncRNA from 1 species
AGUGAUUCCUAUUCCAGCUCUACCUUCUCCUUUAUGCACAGCUAUGGGCCUCAUUUGCUCUUUUUUUUUUUCUAUUCUGCACUUCUUUCUGGGCACCUAGGGACAGAUAAAUGACUUAGAUAGCAAAGCCAGAUAAGGGAAAAUGGAGAUUGUCUUGCAUGCUAAUUAACCAGCUUCACCGUAUUGUCCGCAGUGCUCCAAGAAACUGUGAAACUGUGUUGGUGUUUCUGGUUGGAUUUUAGUUUUCAUCUUCCAAUGUGAUCACCUGAGGUGAUAUUUCACAAAGAUUUGAUUCAAAGUGCACUGAAACCAAGUGGAAAAGACAUCAGUGAUUUAACCUGGCUUUGGACUGUGCCCUCAGCAGGAGUUUGAAUAACCUCUUCUGCUCAGGAAAAGGGUCAAUCUCAUAAGACUUGGAGAUGCAGGAGGCUGAUACCGUCAAGCCAAAAUGAAAGCAGCAGAAUGGAACUGGCUUGCCAGGGCUCUGAUCAGGAGGAUGUCUCAUCACAGAGACAAAAAUCCCCAUUGUAUUGUUUUUUUUUGUAGGGCUGCAGACUGCGUAACCACACCAAGCCACAUGAAGCAGAAGUGUUUUUUUGGAGGAGUGCCUAUGGUUGCAGAGAUGGAGAAGUCUCAAAUUAGAUGUUGGGCCAGACACUAAAACGCUGUCUACUAUCUGUCUAUCUAGUCUUAUUAGUCAGGCACAAUGAUGUGUUAUUAAGCUACAAAGAGGUGUUUGAUAUGGUAACACAGUUGCACAGCCCCUGGUAAACCAGACCAAGAUUGUUGGCAGGGCUCAAAUCCUUCUGCUGGCAUUUUACUGUACUUUCUCAAUAUGUAUCAAGAGAGGGAUUUUACACUCUCUGAGCUUCAUAACUACGCAUCUGACUGAUGAGAUUUAUGAACCAAAGAGAUCACACUGAGUAAGCUCCUAGGCCAGUGUACUUGUUAAUAUUACAGGACAAUUUGUUUAAAAAAAAAAUAAUCAAUUUGAAAGUUCCAUGUUUUCAAUAUAAGACAGAGAAGAUAAUAAUUUCUUAAAUCAGUUGAAAAUUAACUUGAAAGUUCUUGAGCAUUGUCUGAAGGGAAGAAUAAUGAAUAUUACCAAAUGAUGUAUUCAGAACAUUAUUCCUUAGCUAUUGAAACAAACUGCCUUUUUUUCCCUAACAAUUUUGAAGCUAUAUGUGUAUUAGUCUGUAUGCAGUAUCACAUUAUUGUAGCUAUGGUUAAACUUAAUAAGACUCAAAUUAACAUUUUUAGGAAGGAAGAAUAUUCCAUCAAAUUUUAAGGAAGAAGAAAGUAAGGUUGAAAGCAUAACUCCCCGAAUUUGAUCUUAUUUUGACUACAAUAUUUUUCUAUUUGUGUAGUACUUACAAUUUUUUAAGCAGUAAAUAGGAAUGUGAAUAUGGAGAAGUAAUUUUUUGUCCCUGGCUAUUACGAAUAAAA